UUAUAGGUGGUUUUUGAGUCUGGUCCUGGAAAUCUGCAAAUUUUGUGAGCUUAAUUUACGGGUUCACGGUCUAAUCCGUUAAACUAUGUAGUGCUUGUGCAGUUGUGUUGUGUGUUGGGUCACCCACUCACCAAUGUUCACUCAAAUACCAAAAUUUCAUACUCAAACCAAAGUACCAAAUGCUUAUUCCUCUUUUUCUCUUAUGCCACACCAUUGCACCAAACUAGUGCUCACUGCUCACUCAAAACUUCGUCACACAGGCACACAAUGUAGUGGCCGUCGUUGUCCUCUCGCCACCGUGCAUUCUCUAGUUGUUGCGUCGUCGAGCACCUAUGUGGCUACGCGACACCUCCAGGCUCCAUAUCAACCUUGAACUCGUGCGUCAUGCUUUGAGGUGCAUGUGCCUCCUCAUCCGUUGAUCAAGCACUGGGUUUUGGUUUUGAGGAAUGAACAGACUCCUUGUCCCAUCUUAGUGAGUGGCAAAGUUUAUAUAUUUUUUAGUAAUAUUUUAUAAUUUGAGGUCA